rnacentral:ncRNA from 1 species
AUGCAUCUAUAGGUGUUCGGUUAAGUCCCGCAAUGAGUGCAACCUUCGUGUUUAGUUGCCACCGUUGAGUUUGGAACCCUGAGUAUAUUGCCGAUGAUAAAUUGGAGGAAGGUGAGGAU